ensembl:lncRNA LINC01063 long intergenic non-protein coding RNA 1063
GCGGCGCCUCUCGAGGCGCGAGCGACCGGAAGGAAAGGCGGGAGGCUCAGCAGCGCGGCGGUGGGAGGAGCGCGCCCUUGCUGAUUUCAUGGAGGCCCGGGGCCGCGGGCGCUGUUCUCCUUCCUGUGCCGAGUGUGGUUUGCUAUCAAGCGGUGGCAGUUCAGCCACAAUCAGGGGCAGGGGGAGGGAGAGGCCCCCCGAAGAGGCAGAGGCCCUGCCUCGGCCGCCCUGAGCCUGGAAGGUGAUUGGCUAGAGCGACUCCCGGCCGGGAGCGGAAUGAAUGGCGGGGACCGGGGCCUCUGGGUGGUGCGAGCAUCAUGUUGCCUUUUAAUAUGGAGCAUGUGCCAUAGCUCUCCAGGAGAACCCCUCUGUGUCACAGCGAACCUCAGUCACUGACACUCAAAAGAAGGAAUUAUUUCAACUCAAUAAUAAACAAAUAACCCUAUUUUAAAAUCAGCAAA